rnacentral:rRNA from 1 species
GACGAACGCUGGCGGCGUGCUUAACACAUGCAAGUCGAACGGAAAGUCCCUGCUUUUGUGGGGUGCUCGAGUGGCGAACGGGUGAGUAACACGUGAGUAACCUGCCCUUGACUUUGGGAUAACUUCAGGAAACUGGGGCUAAUACCGGAUAGGAGCUCCUGCUGCAUGGUGGGGGUUGGAAAGUUUCGGCGGUUGGGGAUGGACUCGCGGCUUAUCAGCUUGUUGGUGGGGUAGUGGCUUACCAAGGCUUUGACGGGUAGCCGGCCUGCGAGGGUGACCGGCCACAUUGGGACUGAGAUACGGCCCAGACUCCUACGGGAGGCAGCAGUGGGGAAUAUUGCACAAUGGGCGGAAGCCUGAUGCAGCAACGCCGCGUGCGGGAUGACGGCCUUCGGGUUGUAAACCACUGUCGCCUGUGACGAAGCGUGAGUGACGGUAAUGGGUAAAGAAGCACCGGCUAACUACGUG